rnacentral:rRNA from 1 species
GAGAUAGCUGGUUCUCCCCGAAAGCUAUUUAGGUAGCGCCUCGUGAAUUCAUCUCCGGGGGUAGAGCACUGUUUCGGCUAGGGGGCCAUCCCGGCUUACCAACCCGAUGCAAACUGCGAAUACCGGAGAAUGUUAUCACGGGAGACACACGGCGGGUGCUAACGUCCGUCGUGAAGAGGGAAACAACCCAGACCGCCAGCUAAGGUCCCAAAGUCAUGGUUAAGUGGGAAACGAUGUGGGAAGGCCCAGACAGCCAGGAUGUUGGCUUAGAAGCAGCCAUCAUUUAAAGAAAGCGUAAUAGCUCACUGGUCGAGUCGGCCUGCGCGGAAGAUGUAACGGGGCUAAACCAUGCACCGAAGCUGCGGCAGCGACGCUGAUGCGUUGUUGGGUAGGGGAGCGUUCUGUAAGCCUGCGAAGGUGGCCUGUGAGGGUUGCUGGAGGUAUCAGAAGUGCGAAUGCUGACAUAAGUAACGAUAAAGCGGGUGAAAAGCCCGCUCGCCGGAAGACCAAGGGUUCCUGUCCAACGUUAAUCGGGGCAGGGUGAGUCGACCCCUAAGGCGAGGCCGAAAGGCGUAGUCGAUGGGAAACGGGUUAAUAUUCCCGUACUUGGUGUUACUGCGAAGGGGGGACGGAGAAGGCUAUGUUGGCCGGGCGACGGUUGUCCCGGUUUAAGCGUGUAGGUGUGUGUUCCAGGUAAAUCCGGUUCACUUUAACACUGAGGCGUGAUGACGAGGCACUACGGUGCUGAAGCAACAAAUGCCCUGCUUCCAGGAAAAGCCUCUAAGCAUCAGGUAACAUCAAAUCGUACCCCAAACCGACACAGGUGGUCAGGUAGAGAAUACCAAGGCGCUUGAGAGAACUCGGGUGAAGGAACUAGGCAAAAUGGUGCCGUAACUUCGGGAGAAGGCACGCUGACACGUAGGUGAAGUGAUUUACUCAUGGAGCUGAAGUCAGUCGAAGAUACCAGCUGGCUGCAACUGUUUAUUAAAAACACAGCACUGUGCAAACACGAAAGUGGACGUAUACGGUGUGACGCCUGCCCGGUGCCGGAAGGUUAAUUGAUGGGGUCAGCGCAAGCGAAGCUCCUGAUCGAAGCCCCGGUAAACGGCGGCCGUAACUAUAACGGUCCUAAGGUAGCGAAAUUCCUUGUCGGGUAAGUUCCGACCUGCACGAAUGGCGUAAUGAUGGCCAGGCUGUCUCCACCCGAGACUCAGUGAAAUUGAACUCGCUGUGAAGAUGCAGUGUACCCGCGGCAAGACGGAAAGACCCCGUGAACCUUUACUAUAGCUUGACACUGAACAUUGAGCCUUGAUGUGUAGGAUAGGUGGGAGGCUUUGAAGUGUGGACGCCAGUCUGCAUGGAGCCGGCCUUGAAAUACCACCCUUUAAUGUUUGAUGUUCUAACGUGGACCCGUGAUCCGGGUUGCGGACAGUGUCUGGUGGGUAGUUUGACUGGGGCGGUCUCCUCCUAAAGAGUAACGGAGGAGCACGAAGGUUGGCUAAUCCUGGUCGGACAUCAGGAGGUUAGUGCAAUGGCAUAAGCCAGCUUGACUGCGAGCGUGACGGCGCGAGCAGGUGCGAAAGCAGGUCAUAGUGAUCCGGUGGUUCUGAAUGGAAGGGCCAUCGCUCAACGGAUAAAAGGUACUCCGGGGAUAACAGGCUGAUACCGCCCAAGAGUUCAUAUCGACGGCGGUGUUUGGCACCUCGAUGUCGGCUCAUCACAUCCUGGGGCUGAAGUAGGUCCCAAGGGUAUGGCUGUUCGCCAUUUAAAGUGGUACGCGAGCUGGGUUUAGAAC